AUGUGUCGUAUUCUGAACACUUUCCGUACUCAUAAAUUGAGUUCGUGGCAACUUUUCUCUAGACUAGGAUGCAUCAAUCGCCAUGCCAGGGAACAGAAACAUGGCAACUUUUUAGCACCUCUCCAUUUGCCAUAUUCUAAACACUGGCCGUACUCACAUACUGAGAACAUGGCAACUUCAUCUGCACCAAGAUGCAUUAACUGCCAUGCCAGUGAACAUAACCAUGGGAAAUGUAGCCAUUUUUUCAUUAUGUAUGAUGUUGUUUCCAACAAAAUUGCUAUGUUGUUCAGUCAUAUUGGUAAUGCCACAUUUCUCAUGCUGUUACGAUGGGUUACUUUAGUGUGA
rnacentral:rRNA from 1 species